GGGCAUUUGCUCUGGCUGCACAUACACUAAAAUCGGAACGAUACGGAGACGAUUAGCAUGGGCCCUGCACAGCGAUGACACGCAGAUUCGCGAAGUGAUCUGUAUUUAA
rfam:Pteropus alecto contig26906, whole genome shotgun sequence.